rnacentral:rRNA from 1 species
AUUGAACGCUGGCGGCAUGCCUUACACAUGCAAGUCGAACGGUAACAGGGAGCUUGCUCCGCUGACGAGUGGCGAACGGGUGAGUAAUGUAUCGGAACGUACCAUUCAGUGGGGGAUAACGUAGCGAAAGUUACGCUAAUACCGCAUAUUCUGUGAGCAGGAAAGCAGGGGAUCGCAAGACCUUGCGCUGAUUGAGCGGCCGAUAUCAGAUUAGCUAGUUGGUGAGGUAAAGGCUCACCAAGGCGACGAUCUGUAGCGGGUCUGAGAGGAUGAUCCGCCACACUGGAACUGAGACACGGUCCAGACUCCUACGGGAGGCAGCAGUGGGGAAUUUUGGACAAUGGGGGCAACCCUGAUCCAGCCAUGCCGCGUGAGUGAAGAAGGCCUUCGGUUGUAAGACUCUUUCGGUCCGGGAAAAUACGCAUCAGUUAAUACCUGUGUGGAUGAUGGUACCGGAUAAGAAGACACCGGCUAACUACGUGCC